ACCUGAGAUGUACCUGACCAUCAAUUCUGACGGAGCUGGGAGGUGUCCCUGACUCACCAGCUGUGUCUUCAGUGACGGACCUUCAUUCCCCAAGUGCGUCUGCCCGAAACUUCUGUGGUCUCUGACGGGUCCUAGAUGCCUCCUCUCCGACUGGGAGCGUCUACUUUGGCCUCCCGUCCACACGAAGCCCCGGCGGUGUGGGCCUGCGCAGGAGCCUCGCGUGUCCCAGGUCCCCCAGCCGGGGCCGUCUCCUCCGCUCUCGGAAGUCGCCCUCUGCCCCCAGGGUCUCCCUGUUCCCCAGAUGUGUCCACACAGGCAUGCGACGGCCCCUUAAAUCUCGUCUGUUUCGGUGUGGAAUCUGUACACGAACCUUGGAUGUCCCCUUAGUUCCCAGAUGUCCCCCCGAUUCCCCAGGGGAAGAUACACGACUGAGAAUGCCACCUUGAUGCCUCCAGGAUUUCUGGACUAACCUGAGAAACCUGUGUCCCCAGGUGUGUGGGCUCUUACCUUAGAGGUUCAUUCUCCAGCUCCACCUGCUCUGGUCAGGAAACUCUCCCCAUGCGCCCUGCUGUACGUCGCUGAGCCUGGGCAUCUCCUUAAUAAUCAGUAAACACAAAUCAUUUCUCCACGUGAACUGAACAAUAAAAACUACAGACGAGAAUUUCCGGAAGAACCUAACAGGACCCCGGCUCACCAUCUGCAGACAUCCAAAGGAGAAGGGUCACGUGACAACCCAGUGUGCGGUAAACAGUCGGCGCUCUCCGCUCAACAGAAAGGGACUGGUUUUUGUGUGAAUGUUUUUCUUUACGAGAGAGGGUGAGCAGGGGAUGCAGAGAGAGAAAAACACAGGAUCUAAAGCGGGCUCCACGCUGAGAG